UGUCGAUGAAGAGCGCAGCAAACUGUGGGAAUUCAUGUGAACUGCAAGCUCAUUUGAACAUUGACAUCUUGAACGCACAUUGCGGCCACGGGUCCGCCCGUGGCUACGUCUGUCCGAGGGUCGGUUUAUAAACUAUCACGACGCCCAAAAAGUCGUGGCUUGGGUCUUGCUAGCCGGCGUGAUUUCCCCUGUCCAGUCACGGGGGGCCGGAUCUAUGGCUCUUCCCUAAUGUAUCCAGACACUGACCGCGGCCCAAGCGAGAGCUUGGGCAGAAUGCGGCGUUGGAGUCGUGGCUUAAUAUUGGAAGGCCCAAUACACGCUCCGCGACGCUAUGUGUGGUGUCCUGGAAUUGCUUCUGCACCUUCGGGUGCUCUUCCCGACCUCGGAUCAGGCGUGAAUACCCGCUGAACUUAAGCAUAUCACUAA
rnacentral:rRNA from 1 species